AGUGACGAUAGCCUAGGAGAUACACCUGUUCCCAUGCCGAACACAGAAGUUAAGCCCUAGUACGCCUGAUGUAGUUGGGGGUUGCCCCCUGUUAGAUAUGGUAGUCGCUU
rnacentral:rRNA from 1 species